ACCGGGAUUGCCCUAAUAACGGGGAGUGAAGCGGCAACAGCUCAAAUUUGAAAUCUGGCUCUUUUAAAGUCCGAGUUGUAAUUUGCAAAGGGCGCUUUGGCUUUGGCAGCGGUCCAAGUUCCUUGAAACAGGACGUCCCAAAGGGUGAAAAUCCCGUACGUGGUCGCUGGCUAUUGCCGUGUAAAGCCCCUUCAACAAGUCAAGUUGUUUGGGAAUGCAGCUCUAAAUGGGAGGUACAUUUCUUCUAAAGCUAAAUAUUGGCCAAAGACCGAUACCGCACAAGUAAAGUGAUCGAAAAAUGAAAAGCACUUUGGAAAAAAAGUCAAACAGCCCGUGAAAUUGUUGAAAGGGAACCGCUUGCAGCCAAACUUGCUUGCAGUUGCUCUUCCGGGCUUUUGCCCGGUGCACUCUUCUGCAGGCAGGCCAGCAUCAGUUUGGGCGGUAGGAUAAAGGUCUCUGUCACGUACCUCCCUUCGGGGAGGCCUUAUAGGGAAAACAACAUACUACCACCCUGAACUGAGGUCCGCGCAUCUGCUAGGAUGCUGGCGUAAUGGCUGUAACCGGCCCGUCUUGAAACCCGGACCAAGGAGUCUAACAUCUAUGCAAGUGUUUGGGUGUCAAGCCCAACCGCGUAAUGAAAGUGAACGGAGGUAGGAACCCGCAAGGGUGCACUAUCGACCGAUCCUGAUGUCUUCGGAAGGAUUUGAGUAAAACCAUGGCUGUUGGGACCC
rnacentral:rRNA from 1 species